rnacentral:tRNA from 1 species
GGGCGAGUGUCGGAACGGUAGACGAUCUGGAUUUAGGGUCCAGUGCUCGAAAGAGCGUGAGGGUUCGAGUCCCUCCUCGCCCA